GGGCAAACCCACCCUGCCUGGCCACUCUGUCGCCCUUGGCCGGCACCUGAUCUCUCCUGAGCAGCCAACAGCUUGGGGCUGCUGGGUGGCUGGUUGGAGGGCAGAGUCUCAGGCCAGCAAGGUGCUGAGAAGGCCUCCAGCUGGGCCAGGCCACCCGUCCACCGCUGUCUCCCAGGGUGGGGAGGUGGCCCCUCAGCAGGGAGCUGCCCUUCUCACCAGGCAGGACUCCAAUUCCAGUCCGUGGCCUGUGUGGCAGUGGUCUAUCCUGGCUCUGCCAUCGGCCUGGGUAAGGUGGACAUCUAGGUGGCACAGAGGCCAGAGUCCUGGAGGCUCCAAAAAGUGAAAGGGAGGAGAGGAGGAUGGGAAGGCCGCAGGGCCACCCUGAGCUGGGACGCAGCCGCGGCUGCUUCAUCACGGGCCUGCUGACUUGGCUCAAGGGACUCAGCUACGUUUGCAGCCACAAAAGCCCAGGGCCUGGAGCCCUGCCAGCCCUGUGCAGGUCCCGUGGGACGGUGCAGAGAAGAAGGGAGGGCCUCGUGCACACAGGUGGGACAAGGUGUUCCCACCUCCGCAGCACUGACCCCCCUGCGGGCGCUGGGCCCACGUGGGAUGAUGGCUUUCCAUCAGCCCCUCGGUGGGGGUGUAGCAUAAAGUCACAGAUUAUGGGACACACUGAAAUCCAAACCUGCUGGCGGGUCCUAGGCGUCCCUCUGCACAGUGAGAGGGACAACAGCCUUCCCGCCUGUGGGCAGUGCAAUGACGGAGGCCAGGCCCUUGACAAGAGAAGUGGCCCGGCCAUGCGCUCGGGCCCUGCCAUUUCCGGCGGUGAUGAGGGGCGUGGGCUUCCAGAGCCAGGCAAGCUGGUCCCGUCCCCACUGCCAUCUCGGCCAUCGCGUUGGGCCAGGCUGCGGCAGCUUCUGCUUGGCAGAGGAGAAGGCCGAGGCCCAGAGACAUCUGUAAGCAGCCCAGAGCUGCCCAGUGGGAAGCACCAGACCCUAGCGGGGGACCCCUCGCCCUCCCCAACCCACACAGUGACCUGCCUGGCCCUCGGGGCCCAGAGGAGCUUGUCCCCCUCAGGCAUCUCUGAGCUGCAGCUCUCUCGUCGGGGUCCCCCAGGGCCGCUGAGCACAAAGCGGGUAGCGGAGGCCGGGAGGCGGCGGCUGGCUGGGCUUUCUUCCUCCCUCCUCUUUGUCAGGCUCCUUUCAGCGGCAGGCAGGCCUGUGUUCUGAGCUCACAAUAAUUGCGGCGUCUAGACAGUGUCUGGUAUGAGGCCUCCCUCUCUGGCUGCCGGCCUCCCGGGCUCCCAUGCCCACCCUGCGGCCCCUGCUCUGUGCCCUCCGUUCCCACACUCCUGCCCCUCUGCGGCUCCAGGGACCCUCCUGCUCUCAGCUCCCGCCCCCUCGCCCCACCCCCUCUGGGCCUGAGUGCAGGGUGAAGGUGGACUGGCUGUGGUUCUGGCCGGAGACCUCCGAGGGAGGAGGAGAACCCUGGGCCACUGCCCCCCCCCGCCCCCCCCAGCCAGGGUGGAUCAUUUUGCUGGAUUCUGGGCUCAGCUUGGAAGGUCUGGGCUUGAUCUUUCAAACUUCUAGUUCCUUCCAUCACUUUCCCAUCCCAGGCUCUAUGGGAACCUGGAGGCAUUAGCCUAGGAAAGACAGGGUAGCUCUAAGGAUGAACUUCCAGUGACUCUAACCAGCAGACAUGUGCAGGGUGAUUUCAAGAGACGCGUGGGGGAGGGGUGCAGGAACAGGAAGCACAGCCCAGCUCUGCAAAAGCUCUGGAAGAGGCUGGACUCUCCUCGCUGUGGUCAGGACCAGGUGCUCAGGGUGAGCUGCAAUAGUAGUAACAGCCAAAGUCGGCCCAGCCCUUUCCCUGUACCAAGCACUUGCAAACCCUGUACUCAUAUUAAUUCAUUUAAUCCACCCAAUGGGCCUAUGAGAGAGAGGGGAAAAUAUGAAUAAGCCUACGACUAAUUCCAUUUUAUAGAUCAGGAAACUAAGGCACAGAGAGGUUAAGUAACUUGCCCCAAAUCACAAAGCCAGGAAGUGAGAGAGCCAAGAUUUGAGACCCCCAGAAGUUGGCUCCAGAGCCCCAGUAAUGACCCAUAAUAGGGACAUUAAAUGCUUACUGUGUAGCUGGGGCUGAGAUUAGCACCCUACACUCGUUUCCUUUAACCUCCCAAGGCCAUUAGGAUCCAGGAUUAUGCCCAUUAUACAGAGGAAAAGAGAAGAGCCCGGGGCUGCUGGGUGUGACCAGAUGGUGCCCUAACUAACUUCAGUUCAGAAAGGCCCAGGAAGCCAGGCCCUCCCCAGGCGGUGAGGCUGCAGGUAAGAGGCUUUCAGAGAGGACCUCCUCUGACUCGGCCUGGCCUACCACUGCCUUCCAAGCCGGCACAAAGCAUGGAGCUGCCCCCACAGAGGCUUGGCGGGCUGGGGGCCAGCUGGGCCCUGGCUACAGACUGCCUUCCUAAGCAAGGUAGCGGGGACCGCCAGAGAUCAGUGGCUCGGGUAGUGGGACUAGAACUUGUGCAGAAGGAAUCCCAAGGUCCACCCUGGAGGCAGGAAGGCUGGCGGGAGGCUCUGGCCCCUUCUCUUUCCUCCUCCCCACCCCCACGGCUGCCUCACACCCCAUCCAGCUGGAGAUGGCCGGAUAUGGCCUCUCGUCCUCCACCCCGGCCCCACCUGGGAAUGUCCAGUCUGCACCUGAAGACUUCAGCAUUUCCGGCAGAGCCCUCGCUGAGCUGCCUCUCCAGCUCUGUCACCAGCCCCCUGCUCUUCCUCAGCCCGGCCCGGUGGGGCCUGUGUGGGGUGGAAUCAGGGCAAGAUGGAGGGCCAGGACAUGCUCCAGAGCGGGGUCUCUGACCGAAAUGCUGGGCUCCUGUGGGUUGUUCGAUAUUGGGAGCUUGCAGCCUGCCUCUCAAGGAGAAGGACAGGCGCAGGUGCGUGUUCUGAGGCAAGCCAGAUGACACGCAGCACUGACAGGAGCAGGAUCCUGCAGGCCCGUGGUCCCUGACCAAAAAUCGCUGGCAGACAGAUCCGGCACUCAGAUUCUCCUGUGGUAGAAAGAUAACAGGAUACAUAUCCUGCAUACCUAACACCCCAGGCAGCACGGGCGGCCCUGGACACAUUGGUCCCUCCACAGCAAAGCACACAGGCAAAGAUUAAAAGCCUCAGCAUCUCAGUUUUUCUUAUCUCCAAAAAGGGAUGUGCACCGAGUGAGGACCAUGCCUAGACCUGCCCCAGGCCCUUUGCACUCGCUGGUCCUUUGGCCUGCACUGUUCCUCCCCAGAUGUCUCCUGGAGAUGGCUUCCCCACUUCCUUCAGGGGCCUGCUCAAAGGCUGGCUCCACAGGGCGGACUUUCUCCGGCCACGCCCACCCCUCCCUCUCCCCUCACAGCUUUCAACCAAUUAAUCAUUUAUCAGGGGCGCCCUCCUGCAGCGGGAUCCCGGAUCCGGGCUCCUGAGGGCAGGACAUUUUUUCAUCUCAGUGCACCCCCAACACCUAGGGCAGCACCGCCUGGGGCACUCGUCGUUGCCGAAUGCAUGAUGCUUGGGCAGUGUCUGGCCCACGGGGAGGCAGGAGGAGGCCGGCUGGCGUGACCUCGCUGCUGUUGGCAUCGCUGGGCUCCUAUUGUAAUCGGGAUGCCAAGGCCCGCACCGACCCAGCCCUCGGUCCUCCAGCCUGGGAAAUGGGCAUCCCGGGACCCCAGGCACCUGCCACGGAGUCUGGUCUGGUCCCUGCCGGAGAGACAAAGGACGCUGCCCGCCCCCGGGGAGCCGGCGCCCCUCGAUGGGGAGAGAAGCCCGAGGAGCGAGCGCAGCCCGGUGCGCGCCGCCGCCAGAAGGCCAUACAUAAUUCAUUGCCAAGUGGGGCCGCGGGCGCUCGGCGGGCGGCGGGCGCCGGGGCUCGUUCUGCCUGGCACUUUGCUGACUGCUCCUCGCACGUCGCCUGAUUGCAUCUCCGUGGAUCUGCAGGGUGUGAGCCUUCCCUCACUUCCCGAGGGGGGGGGGGCAACCUGCGGCUCAAAAUUGGGGGCCACACACCCCGUGGCCAACCAGGGCCUCCCAGGCGCCGUCUCUGUAGAGGGAACAGAGGAGCCUGGGGAGGGCGUGGGAGGGUCGGAGGAGACCCCGCCUCGCCCCAGACGGGCUGCAGCGUGCUCAACAGAAGUCUGACCUCAGUGUGCCCAGCUGUAAAAUGGGAAGAACAGAAGCUGCCCCUGGGGCUAUGGGAUCAAAGACGGGUGGCACUGGAGAAGUGGCUUCUGCUGAGUGGGGAGCCAAGCCCCCCACCCAGGUCACUCAGGCCAGCACCGGUUCCUCCCAGAUAUUUUGGGGACAGUGGUAGCAAGGUUUCUGCUGUCCAGAUGAGGGCGAUGGGGUGGGUGAGAGGGGCGCUGUGGUUAUGAAGAAGGGCAGGAGCCCUGUGGCCGAGGUGUCCCCAUCCUGCCUGGGAUGAAGGAUGCAGGAGCCUGCCAUACAGAUUGCACAGAACAGGUGCAAACAAGUCCAAGGGCAACUGAGGACCCCGGGCAGGCCGGCACCCCUGUUCCUGCAUCCUCUGUGUUAUUUCUUCUCACUACCUGGGCGUCCACAGUGGUCUCAAAACAAAUUAGAAUUUUGAAAGCACUCCCCUCCCCUGCCCAGAGGGCGGAGUCCCUGCAGUUAGCUCCACCCCACAACGCCAGCUCCAGGGCUGGGGCAGAGGACAGGCCCUGGAGUUCCCCUCCACUGUGGAUUGUCCUCCCAGAGCUGCCCUGAGUGUCCUGUCUCUAUUCCAGAGUGUUCCCAUCCUCUCCCACUUUCCCCCCCGACAGACACACAGUCCCAUCCAGGAUGAUUCUGGAAGAGAUGCUGGGGGAGAACCAGGAAGGCCCUGUUGUCUCCAGACUGUCGCAGGCUGGCCCACCCCUCUCGGUCCCCUACCUCCUGGAGAGUUGGACAGAGUGGAAAGAAUGUCAGUCACCAGGUGACCCAAGCUGUGGAUAUAGCCUCAUUCCCAUCCCGUGGGGCAAUUCCUGUCCCCUCCUUGGUUCCUGGGCUCCUCAUCUGCAGCAUGAAAGACUUGGACUAGAUUGUCCUAGGGUGCUCAUGCUGAUGGCCAGCAGACCUGCCCCUGUACUUGGCCAGACUUCUCAUUCCAGAGGCUGAACAAGGGUGCUGGGUGCCAGGCUUGCCUCUGGCUGCUCCCUGAAUGUGACCUGGCCUUCCAGCACCAACACAGUCCCCACAGGAAACUCAGACCAGUAAGGCCUCAACACACAUCCACACACCACUCACCAAACGUCACAUGCCAGGCUAGACAUUGGGACAAAAAGGUGCAGGGCACGACGUACUUACUGUUCUUUUCACAGAAACUGCACUCUGGGAGGGGAGAGUCCUUUUAAUAAACUCAAAAUUACCUGAGAUUAUGCAAAGGAGGAGAGGGAUCGACCAGGACGGGAGGUCGGCCGUAGUGAGGGCUGUCCUGAGAAGUGACCGCUAACUCAGUGAGCGCUAAGUGACAGAGGUGACACAGGCAAAGUCUGCUCCAAAAUGGGAACAGGAAGGGCAGGGGCCUGUGCAGAGAGCACGGGUGGAGAGAGCUCCUACCCAGAAAGAGGCAGCGCUCCGAUGAGUGACGGGGAGUCUGGGGAAGGGGCCCGGCCCCCAGACAGAACCCAGGAACAUCUGAGAUGCGUUAAGCAGGGGAAUUACCAGAAUGGAUUUCUGCUCAGAAAAUCUCGGAGAAGAGCGUGGGCCCUCAUUGCUGCUUUAAGUGACUUUUAUUGUGUGUGGCUUAAAUAUCUACAAACGAAAAACGAGACAUAAAGUCCUGGUAGCUUUUAUACAACUAUAAAACCAAGACAGAUCGAUCAAUCAAAUACAAAAUCAAUUCACAUCAGAUUAAUCUGAUGUGACAUAUUAUGUCUUUUGCUUGAAACCCUGUCACCACCCACAGAGUAAAUACGGCCCAACCACUGUGGUGCUCAGUGUUUGUGACAGAGACGACCGACCAGCCUUCUACACACACGCGCACGUGUGUGUGCAACAAAUGGUCUUCCCCUCAGAAUAUGUAAAGAACUUCUACCAAUCAACAAGAGGAGGAGGAGGAGGAGAGGACAGACGUCGCUGCAAGGAAAAAAAAUCGGGGAGUGGCACUAACGUCCUUCACAACACAAUUUCCAAAUGGUCCACAAGUGCAUAGAACGUCCGCGGCUUGGGGACUCCUCCGGGAUGUCUCAAUCAGAGCGAAAUAUCUUAGACGCCAUAAUUUAUAAGCAACAGGAUUGGCGGCUCACAGUGCUGGAGACGGGGGAGCCCGAAAUCCAGGUACCAGCAGAGCCUCGGGACCCCUGAGGACAGCUGCAGUCCAGAGCCACCCCCCACACACCUCCUUCUCAGCCGCGCCCCGCCUAUAAUCACCACCCAGCAGUCCCUUGGCUCCCAAUGGGUCCGUCCACCCAGCACUGCCGGGACACACUCCCACACACACUCCCACACACACUCCCACACACACUCCCACACACACUCCCACACACACUCCCACACACACUCACACACACACUCCCACACACACUCACACACACACUCACACACACACUCACACACACACUCCCACACACAGCAGCCGUGGGUUCAUAAAAAGACGCACGGUUCAUAAGAACCCAAACCAAAGUGAAUCCCCACGCCCUUCAGGAGCGGAGGACAAACAGCGAGCCGGCCCUUCCCACCCUGGUGACUGACCAGCCGGGGAGGGACGACCUGGGCGCCAGAGCAGACGGAAUCUCAGCCCGAAGGAGGAGACCAUUUAUGGAAGGGGAAAGCAGGCCGCGGUACUGGGGAGCAGGGCAGAGUCCACCCUCUGCGACCAGGCCUUGGAGGAGGGGAGCCCAGAGGACUGAGCGGUCACGACCUUACGGAAACAGCACUCUUCCUCAUGUCUAAUUGCGGUGUGUCCCCAGAGGUCAGCUGUGGGCCAAGGGGAGCGCACCCGGGGCCCCUCUGGCCCUUCCUGCCCAAAGACCACCCGCUGCGAGCAGUAGCCUGGGGUCGGUGCCCGCCCUGGGGUGGUGUGGAACCAGCCGGCUCUUCCUGCUCCAGCCCCUGCCCUGCCUUGCCCUCCCCUACCACCGGUGGACAGAGGCACGUGAUGGAGGAGGCCUGUUGGCCCCAGGACGGCCAGGGGCAGAGGGGAGAAAAGGACAAGGGCCUGAAUCCCAGGACCCCCUUCAGGGGCACCCAGCGACCUAACUUCCUUCCCCUAGGCCCCACCUCGGACAGGGUCCACCACCUCCCAAUAGCACCACAGUUUCUCAGUGACUAAGCCAUUGACCUGGGGCCUCUGGGGACACUCAUCUAAACCACAGUAGCUGCUGCUCCAGCAGGGGUUACCCUAUGCUCCCUUACAUUGGCACAGUCCACUGUCCAACAGUGUCACACUUCAUGACAGUGUAAGAACCUUACUAAAGCACGAAGCUAUAACCAACCUCCUCUCUGUCAUUUAUAAUAUUGUGGUCACAUACUUUAUUUUUACAUGUUAUCCCAGAAUGCAUUAUUAUUUUUGCUUGAGAGAAUUGACUAAUUUUUAAAGAGUUGAGAAAAAUAGUCUUUUGUAUUUAUUAACACAUUCACCAUAUCCAGUACUUUUGGUUUUGUUCCUAUAAAUCUGAAAUUUCACCUGAUGUCAUUUUUCUUUAGUAUAAAGAUCUUUAUUUGGGUCUGGUUGUAGCUCAGUGGUAAAGCAUUUGUCUAGCAGGUGUGAGGCACUGGGUUUGAGUCUCAGCACCACUUAUAACAAAUAAAAUAACAAAUGAAUAACAAAUAAAAUAAGAAUUUAACAACAACUAAAAAAAAAUUGUUUUAAAAAAAUCUUUAUUUAACCUUUCUUACACCAAACUUCUAUUGGUAUCAAAUUCUCCAUUUUCAUUUGUCCAGUGUUUUUAUUUUUCCAUUUUGAAAGAUAUUUUCGCUGACAUCAUUCUAAAUGGACAGCUAGGCACGGUGGUGCACGCCUGUAGUCCCAUCAGCUCAGGAGGCUGAGACAGGAGGAUCGCAAAUUCAAAGUCAGCCUCAGCAAAAGCGAGAUGCUAAGCAACUCAGUGAGACCCUGUCUCUAAAUAAAAUACAAAGUAGGGCUGGAGAUGCAGCUCAGUGGUCAAGCGCCCCUGGGUUCAAUCCCCAGUAUAAAAAAGAAAAAAAAAAUUCUAAAUGGACCGGCUUUUUCUUUCAGUGCUUGUAAGAUGCUGUUCCAUUGUCUUCUGACUUGCAUUGUUUUUAGGUGAAGUCUGUGGUUUUCCCUUACUGUUUUCCUAUGCCCAAUUUAAAAUAUUUUCCUGAGCUACUUUUUAGACACCCACCCCUUCUGGUUUCAGUAGUGUAACCAUGAUGUGCUUAAGUAUGAUUUUUUUUGUAACUUUUUUUUUUUUUGGUCGGGGGAGUGGUACUCUAUGAUCAGGUCAUAUCCUCAGCCCUUAUUUUCUUUGUAUUUAUCAUAGUUGGGGUCCACUGAAUUUCAAGCUAUAGGUUGAUUUUUUUUAAUUUAAACUUUGAAUAUUCUUAGCCUAUUGAUAGCCUCAUCAAAUUUUGUUUCUGUCUCAUUCUCUUUCCUCCUCUGAGAGACUCCAAUCACAUGUGUGUGGAUUUCCUUCUCCAUCCCAUGUUAAUGAGGCUCUGUUCAUUAUUCCAUUGUGUGUGUGUAUACAUGUGCUUCAGUGUAGAUAAUUUCUAUUGAUCUGUUCUUAAGGUCGUUGUUUUUUUAAAUUGAUUCUAAUAUGCUUUAAAUCUCAUCAAAUGAAUGUUCAAUUUCAGAUACUGUAUUUUUCAGUUUAGAAUUCAAUUUGAUUUUAAAAAUUUUUCAUAUCUUCCUUUAUUAGAGGUUUAAUUAGUUCUCCCCACCACCACCACACACACAAAAAAAAGAUAUGUUGAAAUUCUCACCCCCACUUCCUAGAAUGUAACCUUAUUUGGAAAUAGAGUCAUGAAGAUGUAAUUAGCUAAGAAGGGGUCAUUCUGGAGUAAGGUAGACCUUGGUACACUAUGACUGGUGUCCUCCUAAAAAGAGGCUAGAGAUGCGGGGAGAAUGCCACGUGAAGGAGGGAGACCAUGGAUGCGUCUAAUCCAAGGAAUGCCAACAAUCUCCCCUGUCACUAGAAACUAGGAGAGAAACCUGGAACACUCUCCCUAAGAGUCAUCAGAAGGAACCAGGCUGCCAAUACCUGGAUUUCAGACCUGUAGCCUCUGAGACUGUAAAAGAAAAUAUUUCUCUUUCUUAAACAACUUAGUUCAUGGGACUUUAUUCCAUCAACCGUAGGAAACACUUCUGAAAUUUUCCUUGUUGUUACCCAUUAUAAUUGCCUUUUCCUGUAGAUUCUUAAACGAAUUUAUUAUAACAAUGGAAAAUCUCCCUACUAAUUUCAACAUCUGAAUCUGUUUCCAUCUUUAAAAAAUAAAAUUGACUGUGUCAUAUUUUCCU
rnacentral:lncRNA from 1 species